rnacentral:rRNA from 1 species
UAGGGAAUCUUCGGCAAUGGACGCAAGUCUGACGGAGCAACGCCGCGUGAGUGAAGAAGGAUUUCGGUUCGUAAAACUCUGUUGUUAGAGAAGAACAGCGCAUAGAGUAACUGUUAUGCGUGUGACGGUAUCUAACCAGAAAGCCACGGCUAACUACGUGCCAGCAGCCGCGGUAAUACGUAGGUGGCAAGCGUUGUCCGGAUUUAUUGGGCGUAAAGCGAGCGCAGGCGGUUAGAAAAGUCUGAAGUGAAAGGCAGUGGCUCAACCAUUGUAGGCUUUGGAAACUGGAAAACUUGAGUGCAGAAGAGGAAAGUGGAAUUCCAUGUGUAGCGGUGAAAUGCGCAGAGAUAUGGAGGAACACCAGUGGCGAAGGCGACUUUCUGGUCUGUAACUGACGCUGAUGUGCGAAAGCGUGGGGAUCAAACAGG